GAUUGAACGCUGGCGGCAUGCCUUACACAUGCAAGUCGAACGGCAGCAUGAUCUAGCUUGCUAGAUUGAUGGCGAGUGGCGAACGGGUGAGUAAUACAUCGGAACGUGCCCUGUAGUGGGGGAUAACUAGUCGAAAGAUUAGCUAAUACCGCAUACGACCUGAGGGUGAAAGUGGGGGACCGCAAGGCCUCAUGCUAUAGGAGCGGCCGAUGUCUGAUUAGCUAGUUGGUGAGGUAAAGGCUCACCAAGGCGACGAUCAGUAGCUGGUCUGAGAGGACGAUCAGCCACACUGGGACUGAGACACGGCCCAGACUCCUACGGGAGGCAGCAGUGGGGAAUUUUGGACAAUGGGGGCAACCCUGAUCCAGCAAUGCCGCGUGUGUGAAGAAGGCCUUCGGGUUGUAAAGCACUUUUGUCCGGAAAGAAAUCGCACUUACUAAUAUUAGGUGUGGAUGACGGUACCGGAAAGAAUAAGGACCGGCUAACUACGUGCCAGCAGCCGCGGUAAUACGUAGGGUCCAAGCGUUAAUCGGAAUUACUGGGCGUAAAGCGUGCGCAGGCGGUUGUGCAAGACCGAUGUGAAAUCCCCGGGCUUAACCUGGGAAUUGCAUUGGUGACUGCACAGCUAGAGUGUGUCAGAGGGGGGGUAGAAUUUCACGUGUAGCAAUGAAAUGGAUAUAGAUGUGGAGAAUACCGGAUGGCGAAAGGCAGCCCCCUGGGAUAACACUGAACGCUCAUGCCACGAAAAGCGUGGGGAGCAAACAGGAUUUAGAUACCCUGGUAGUCCACGCCCUAAACGAUGUCAACUAGUUUGUUGGGGAUUCAUUUUCCUUAGUAAACGUAGCUAAACGCGUGAAGUUGACCGCCUGGGGAGUACGGUCGCAAGAUUAAAAACUCAAAGGAAUUGACGGGGACCCGCACAAGCGGUGGAUGAUGUGGAUUAAUUCGAUGCAACGCGAAAAACCUUACCUACCCUUGACAUGCCACUAACGAAGCAGAGAUGCAUUAGGUGCUCGAAAGAGAAAGUGGACACAGGUGCUGCAUGGCUGUCGUCAGAUCGUGUCGUGAGAUGUUGGGUUAAGUCCCGCAACGAGCGCAACCCUUGUCUCUAGUUGCUACGAAAGGGCACUCUAGAGAGACUGCCGGUGACAAACCGGAGGAAGGUGGGGAUGACGUCAAGUCCUCAUGGCCCUUAUGGGUAGGGCUUCACACGUCAUACAAUGGUGCAUACAGAGGGUUGCCAAGCCGCGAGGUGGAGCUAAUCCCAGAAAAUGCAUCGUAGUCCGGAUCGUAGUCUGCAACCCGACUACGUGAAGCUGGAAUCGCUAGUAAUCGCGGAUCAGCAUGCCGCGGUGAAUACGUUCCCGGGUCUUGUACACACCGCC
rnacentral:rRNA from 1 species